rnacentral:rRNA from 1 species
UCUGGUAAUGAUGGCAGAGAGGUCACACCCGUUCCCAUACCGAACACGGAAGUUAAGCUCUCUAGCGCCGAUGGUAGUUGGGACCUUGUCCCUGUGAGAGUAGGACUUUGCCAGGC